AACAAAGUUUAGAUGGUGGUUGAUUUAUCAUCCAAAAUACUUUGCUAAGUGUGAGCUUAGGUCAACUUCCACUUUUUAAAGGUUAAUUAUUGCUUAGUUUUGGUGUUUUGAUAAUGUCACGUAUUUCCAUGUGAGCAGAUUUGCUGGGUUGCAGUAAUCGGAGAGGAAGCUGAACUCUGAACUGAUGCUUGAACUGUUAAUCUGUGGCAUUGGGCAGCAGGUGACCCACGGAUCAGAGGUUACGUUGCUCAUUGCUUGCUCAACGUGUACUGAACUGACCACUGGGACAGAUUGUUGCAGAGCAUCGACCUGUAAGGGGUAGGGAAAGAAGUAUUAGUUAAUUAAACAAAACCAUUUACUUGUAAACAAACACUUUUUGUGAAACAUUUGAAGGUUGUAAACCCUAGAGCAAUUAACAAUGCCAACACCCACUUGGGUGAAGGCUGCGAUAGUAGGAUGGUCUCUGACCCUCCUGCUGAUCCUACU